rnacentral:tRNA from 2 species
GCGCUCGUAGCUCAAUUGGAUAGAGUCUUGGCCUCCGAAGCCAAAUGUUGGGUGUUCAAAUCACCUCGAGCGUACCA